UACGGGGGGAGCAAGCGUUGUUCGGAUUUACUGGGCGUAAAGGGCGCGUAGGCGGUAGCACAAGUCAGUUGUGAAAUCUCCGGGCUUAACUCGGAAAGGUCAACUGAUACUGUGCGACUAGAGUGCAGAAGGGGCAACUGGAAUUCUCGGUGUAGCGGUGAAAUGCGUAGAUAUCGUUUGGAACGCCAAUGGUGAAAACAGGUUGCUGGGAGUGUGCUGACGCUGAGACACGAAAGCCAGGGGAGCAAACGGGG
rnacentral:rRNA from 1 species